rnacentral:rRNA from 1 species
GACGAACCGUCCUAACGUUUAUUCGGAAUCACUGGGCUUAAAGGGCGCGUAGGCGGGAUCGUAAGUCAGGGGUGAAAUCCCACGGCUCAACCGUGGAAGUGCCUUUGAUACUGCGGACCUCGAGGUGGGCAGGGGCGUGCGGAACUUCCGGUGGAGCGGUGAAAUGCGUAGAUAUCGGAAGAACACCGGUGGCGAAAGCGGCACGCUGGGCCCGUACUGACGCUGAGGCGCGAAAGCCAGGGUAGCAAACGGGG